GCGCGCGCUGGGGCUGGUGGGCAGGCGUGGUGCAGCCCAUCUGCAAGGUGCUAGUGGCCAAGGAUUCCAAUGCCUGUUUGUGUGCCUAGGAAUGAAACCCACUGACUGAAGGGCAGCAGCAUCAGUUAAAAAGAAAACAAAGCAAACAGUAUUUCUUAAAAAAUGUCUGAAGCUGAAUUCACAGACCCUAUAAAGUUCCAG
rnacentral:lncRNA from 1 species